rnacentral:misc_RNA from 1 species
AGACAAGUUCUUAAAAAUAAAUUUUAAUUGUUCAAUGCGGUGUGGUGGGAGACGAAUUAGAAACGAUAAUCGUGUUACACUUGACACCUCAUUGUUAAAAUACAGAGGGAAUGAUGCUAGGGUUCCGUGAACUAUCUUAUGUUAAUAAAAUGUAGAAGUAUAGAGUUAAUAUCUUGUAGUAGCGUAAGAGUAUAUAUCAUGAAAAAAAAAAGUUUUAGAUAAAAAUUUGAUGAUGCAUAAUUUAUUUGUUUAAGUUACGUGAAUUCGGUUAGAAAGUUCGGUAAGAAGACCGUGUGUUGGCAAAUGUGGACGGCCUCGGGCCUGCUUGACCGACGAUCUACUUAAGAUUGCCAAUGGUGACUGGAUGAGGGUUGCGGAAAACCGGGAUGUUUGGCCUAUGUCCAGCAGCCGACUGCGAUAGUGUGUUGAUCCCGUCAGCUCAGACAAUGCUAUACAUGUCAGAGGUAGGAGAGUAAACUGCUAAGCCAGCGGCGCAGACGGCGGGUGAGCGUGGGAUCUUUUCACCUGAGGCCGCGGUGAGCGCGACGUGAG